GGGAUGAUAGUUUCUAUGUUGUUGCCAAAAAUCGAGAAUAUUGGAGAAAUUUUGAGACAGCUACAGCUAAUUUAAUGGCCUAAACAAAAUAGGGGGCGCUGUAGAGUCCUCUAGCUACACAUGAGAAAAACGACAAAAUAUUCCUAAAUCAUUUUAAAGACUUAUUGAAUCUGCCAAUUAUCAAGAGGCUGAGAGCUUUUCAUAAAUAUGAUAUAAAAUAGGUGGCGCUAGAGAGCUGAUGAAAGACGAAUUUACGAAAUUCCAACUUACGGUCAAAGUAUGGCCUAAGCCAAAUAGCUCUGUAAAAUUUUAGGAGUUUUCAAACAUCCUAACCCCUCCGAAACCCAGCGGGAAACUUUUUAUUUUGCAACUUCCUGUCAAAAUGGCCGACUUCCUGUUGGGCGGAGUCAAAUAAAACCUAGUGAUUCUUGUUGUUUAUGAGGAGGUCAAUGAGCGUACCAAAGUUGGUGCACGUUGGACAAACUUCAUCCCGGCCACUGCCGACAUUUGGGGGCGCUAUAGAGCUCCUGAACAACGCCAAAGUCCAGCCUCUAUGGAACUUUAAAAUUUUCGCCGAGCUUGAGGUCUGUGCCAAAAUGCGUGAGUUUUCGAGUAUCGGAAAUGCCUCAAAAAUGGACGCAAAGAGGCAGAAUAAUAAUAAUAACGAGUUGUCCCCCUGUCACAGGGGGACGUAGGGCCCUCGCACAACAGCGCAAAUCGUACCGGGCCAAACCGAGAAACCGGUAAAAGUAAUUUUGAGGUCUUAUUGAGUGUGCCAAUUUUCAAGAGUUUUCUAUCCUGUUAAACACGUGAAAUAUCCAUUAAAAUACAGGUGGCGCUUUAGCGCUGUUAAAAUACAUAUAUUUGAAAUUCUAAUUCUACAUCAAAGAACAGCCUUAGAUAAGCAGGCCGGUCAAAUUUUGUGAGUUUUUCUCCGUUAUAACCUCCUCAAAACACCUGGCAUUACCUAGGUUUUGACCUCCUGUUUUGAUGUGGCAUCUCACAAAUUCAACCAUCUGCCAUUUCGUCCUCGUUUGAGAUAUCGACUAUUCCUUCACAAUUUAUCAUCAGAUAUGUUCAAUGUUUAUUUUUACCAAAUACCAAGAGAAUUCAACAAAUUUGCUAGGAGUAGUUUGACAAUGUACACAAAAAAUGUGUGUAAAAUGCAGAUAUUUCAAAAUGGCCGACUUCCUGUUGGGCGGAGUCAGUCCUACCAAUGCUGAAAAUGUGUGUAAUGAUGUCUUUUGUGUUUUUGCCAAGUUUCAUGAAUUUUCAAAAAUCUGUUUUCUGACCGUGUCAUGGUUUCACUUUGGUUUAGUGUU